CUGGAGCCUUUCCGUUCACCUUCACACUCCUGGGCCAGACUACACUCAAUCAUAGGACCUACUGAAGAGAUGAGUUUUCAGUAAAGACCGAGUCUGCGUCUCUCACAUGGGUAGGCAGACCAUUCCAUAAAAAUGGAGCUCAAUAGGAGAAAGCCCUGCCUCCAGCUGUUUGCUUAGAAAUUCUAGGGACAAUUAGGAGGCCUGCGUCUUGUGACCAUAGCGUACAUGUAGGUAUGUACGGCAAGACCAAAUUGGAAAGAUAGGUAGGAGCAAGCCCAUAUAAUACUUUGUAGGUUAGCAGUAAAACCUUGAAAUCAACCCUUACCUUAACAGGAAGGCAGUGUAGGGAGGCUAGCACUGGAGUAAUAUGAUCAAAUUUUUGGUUCUAGUCAGGAUUCUAUCAGCCGUAUUUAGCACUAACUGAAUUUUAUUUAGUUCUUUAUCCGGGUAGCCAGAAAGUAGAGCAUUGCAGUAGUCCAACCUAGAAGUAACAAAAGCAUGGAUACAUUUUUCUGCAUCAUUUUUGGACAGAAAGUUUCUGAUUUUUGCAAUAUUACGUAGAUGGAAAAAAGCUGUCCUUGAAACAGCCUUGAUAUGUUCUUCAAAAGAGAGAUCCGGGUCCAGAGUAACGCCGAGGUCCUUCACAAUUUUAUUUGAGACGACUGCACAACCAUGAAGAUUAAUUGUCAGAUUCAAUAGAAUAUCUCUUUGUUUCUUCGGACCUAGAACAAGCAUCUCUGUUUUGUCCGAGUUUAAAAGUAAAAAGUUUGCAGUCAUCCACUUCCUUAUGUCUGAAACACAGGCUUCUAGCUAGGGCAAUUUUGGGGCUUCACCAUGUUUCAUUGAAAUGUACAGCUGUGUGUCAUCCGCAUAGCAGUGAAAUUGAACAUUAUGUUUUCGAAUUACAUCCCCAAGAGGUAAAAUAUAUAGUGAAAACAAUAGUGGUCCUAAAACGUAACCUUGAGGAACACCGAAAUUUACAGUUGAUUUGACAGAGGACAAACCAUUCACAGAGAUAAACUGAUAUCUUUCCGACAGAUAAGAUCUAAACCAGGCCAAAACUUGUCCGUGUAGACCAAUUUGGGUUUCCAAUCUCUCCAAAAGAAUGUGGUGAUCGAUGGUAUCAAAAACAGCACUAAGAUCUAGGAGCACGAGGGCAGAUGCAGAGCCUCAGUCUGACGUCAUUAAAAGGUCAUUUACCACCUUCACAAGUGCAGUCUCAGUGCUAUGAUGGGGUCUAAAACCAGACUGAAGCGUUUCUUAUACAUUGUUUGUCUUCAGGAAGGGAGUGAGUUGCUGCACAACAGCUUUUUCAAAAAAUUUUGAGAGGAAUGGAAGAUUCGAUAUUGGCUGAUAGUUUUUUAUAAUUUCUGGGUCAAGAUUUGGAUUUUUCAAGAGAGGAUUUAUUACUGCCACUUUUAGUGAGUUUGGUACACAUCCGGUGGAUAGAGAGCCGUUUAUUAUGAUCAACAUAGGAGGGC
rnacentral:lncRNA from 1 species